AUAUAGUUAUUAAAUGACUAAUUACUCAUAACUAUUUUGGGCUACACAUUUCCAUUAUGAAUUCAAAAGUAAUUUAAGACAGUUUAUAAAUCAUGUUAAACUGAAAAUAGCACAUGGAGUAAAUUUUUCAAAAGCACCAGGUUAGGUUUUAGUGGUAAAAACUCUUAUUUAAAGCAACCAGAUAUGCAGAGAUAAAUCUCUAAACAAUAUUAUCUAAACAUAUCUCUAAAUAGAAUUCAAGAUGGAUUUUUAAAACUUGCUUUUAAAAAUGGUUACAG